UGUUAAGGUACUUCUGAGUAGUGAACCUGUGCUUCAAGCACCUGAUUUUACCAAGGCUUUUCAGCAAGAGGU